CGAGUUUGAUCCUGCUCAGGAUGAACGCUGGCGGUAUGCUUAACACAUGCAAGUCGAACGAAGCUAUUUUUUUGAACCUUCGGGGGAAAUUAAAUAGACUGAGUGGCGAACGGGUGAGUAAUACGCAAGAACCUACCUCUAGGAAGGGGAUAACAAUUGGAAACGAUUGCUAAUACCCUAUAUGCUUCCGAGUAAAAUAGUUUUUUGCCUGGAGAGGGGCUUGUGCCUGAUUAGCUAGUUGGUUAGGUAAUGGCUAACCAAGGCGACGAUCAGUAGCUGGCUUGAGAGGGCGACCAGCCACACUGGGACUGAGACACGGCCCAGACUCCUACGGGAGGCAGCAGUGAGGAAUUUUCCGCAAUGAGCGAAAGCUUGACGGAGCAAUACCGCGUGGAGGACGAAGGCUCAUGGGUCGUAAACUCCUUUUCUUAGGAAAGAAUUUUGACGGUACCUAAGGAAUAAGCAUCGGCUAAUUCCGUGCCAGCAGCCGCGGUAAGACGGGAGAUGCAAGCGUUAUUCGGAUUUAUUGGGCGUAAAGGGUUUGUAGGUUGUUGGUUAAGUCUAUGGUCAAAUUCCGAAGCUCAACUUCGGGCCGGCACUAGAAACUAAUCAACUUGAGUACGUUAGAGGCAGGGGGAAUUCCCAGUGUAGCGGUGAAAUGCGUAGAUAUUGGGAGGAACAUCAAUGGCGAAGGCACCCUGCUAGGCCGAUACUGACACUGAAAAACGAAAGCUAGGGGAGCAAAUGGGAUUAGAUACCCCAGUAGUCCUAGCUGUAAACGAUGGGGACUAAACUUUGGUUUUAAAAAUCAGAGUUAAAGCUAACGCGUUAAGUCCCCCGCC
rnacentral:rRNA from 1 species